rnacentral:rRNA from 1 species
UACGGAGGGUGCGAGCGUUAUCCGGAAUUACUGGGCUUAAAGGGUGCGUAGGCGGCUCGGUAAGUCAGGUGUGAAAGUUUGCGGCUCAACCGUAAAAUUGCUUUUGAUACUGCCGGGCUAGAAUCAGGAUGAGGUCAGCGGAAUGUGGCAUGUAGCGGUGAAAUGCAUAGAUAUGCGAUAGAACACCUAUUGCGAAGGCAGCUGGCUAGACCUGUAUUGACGCUGAGGCACGAAAGCGUGGGGAGCGAACAGG